GCCAAGUCCGCGGCGCUGUCCAUCCAACUCCACACCACCACACACCACCGCCACCGCCACCCACGCUGCACUCCGGCGACCCGCGAAGAUGCAGAUCUUCGUCAAGACGCCGUCGGGGAAGACGAUCACGCUCGAGGUCGAGGGCGGCCACGACAUCGCCGACGUCAAGGCCAGGAUCCACGACAAGGAAGAUGUGCCGCCGGAUCAGCAGCGCCUCAUCUUCGCAGGGAAGCAGCUGGAAGAAGGCCACACGCUGGCGGACUACAACAUCCAGAAGGAGUCCACGCUUCACCUCGUGCUCCGCCUCCACGGCGGCAGGGGCGGCACCGGUAAGGGGGGAACCUACCCACCAAUCGAGCCCAACCUCCUUCAGCUCGCCCUCAAGUACAUGCAUGUGCUGUUUGAAGGUGCUAUGCACGCCUUCCCCUCAGGUCUGCCAACUGCCGCAAGAAGAAAUGUGGCCACUGCAACGAGAAUUCAAUGAUGUUUGUUUCAAAAAGUCAAUGUGCCAAGUCAGCUCACUUGUGUUUUGCAUCAAUCUGACGCUGACAGAGACGAGGACCAAGAAGAAGCUGAAACCCAGGGACCCAUGAAGCACUGCACUGGCCAGCAAGAGAAAGGGAUACCCAAGUGACACGCACCAGCUGAAUUUACCCUACCGUCUCCUUAUAUUAGCUUCUUGAUUGAUACCAUAGUAGCUUCUGGUUACCCGUAGUACCUUUUAAGUUCCUGCUGCUGCUGCUGGGUUUUAAACACCCUAAAUGCGUACUCUAGCUGAAUAGUACUAUGGAUUCCUGUUGCAUCAUGGGUUCUGUUGAUGAUCCCCUAAAUACUCUUGAUGGUGAUGCCGUGCUUAAGGGAUGCUAGUUACGAAUUCCUGCUGUUA